GAGAGUGUGGUGUAACUGGCAACACGUCGUCCUCCAGAGUCGAAUUUCAGGGUUCAAAUCCUUGCGCUCUUGCCA
rnacentral:tRNA from 1 species